AUUGAACGCUGGCGGCAGGCCUAACACAUGCAAGUCGAGCGAGUGGCGGACGGGUGAGUAAUGUUUGGGGAUCUGCCCGAUGGAGGGGGAUAACUACUGGAAACUGUGGCUAAUACCGCAUACCAUCGGAUGAACCCAUAUGGGAUUAGCUAGUUGGUGGGGUAAAGGCUCACCUAGGCGACGAUCUCUAGCUGGUCUGAGAGGAUGAUCAGCCACACUGGGACUGAGACACGGCCCAGACUCCUACGGGAGGCAGCAGUGGGGAAUAUUGCACAAUGGGCGCAAGCCUGAUGCAGCCAUGCCGCGUGUAUGAAGAAGGCCUUAGGGUUGUAAAGUACUUUCAGCGGGGAGGCGUUAACCGCAGAAGAAGCACCGGCUAACUCCGUGCCAGCAGCCGCGGUAAUUC
rnacentral:rRNA from 1 species